ACAGAAUGGGCUGUGGUUGAAUGCUCCAUGGCUGGGUUGAAACGCUUGGUGAUUCGAUUUAGGUUGUUGAUGGCCAUCUUAAGCCCACUACGCUACACUGACGGUUGAGCAUCAGGGGACGUCUGUGAGCGGAGAUGAGACGCCGGAGCGUCUGGUGACCGACCCAGCAGAUGGUAGUUAAUAGUUGCAGUGAACGUUGAAACGCACAUGGAACGGGGAGGUUGAAUGAACUGUCGAGGGCUUUCUGAAGUUCACCCAGAACCCAAAUUCUUUCAGAUCAUUCUGGCUUUAAAGGCACAGAGAUCCAGUUUUGUUCAGCUUCAAUUGUAAGUGUAUCCCUCAUUUUAACAGAAGAUUUAUAACAUAUACUGGUGAGUUUAAGUGUCUAAAAUUAGGAGUUUCUUCAUAUUAUAGUGCCAAAGUUAUAGAAAUAUUGUCAAACUGGUCAUGAAUGACGUAGUGUUUUAAAAUGAAUCUGGCUUUGUAACAAGUGUGGCAUUGUCAGACUAUUUACAAUAUCUUUCAAAUUAAAUGGCACACUUCUGAGCAAUACAGUCUGUUAACAGUUAAAACUUUAAUAGAGUCUACGAGGCAAACUACCACAAAUACACACACACUCACACAUCUCUGCAUCGACACAUUUGUGUCAUAUUAAUCCACCUGCAGAGGCUGUUAAAGUCUGCUGUGUUGCCUUUACCCAUUCCCUUCAUGUGUGACUCAUCUCAUGACCUGAGGCAGAGAACAAGAGAGCCAGUGUUGGCCAACAUCUCACUGGGUUAAGCAGAGAAGCAUACAAGUAUACAGGCCUCUCCUCCAGCCAUGUGGAGAGAAAAGAUCCUUUCCCUUCAGUGAUAGCCAGCCAAAGCAAACACAGCAAAUGAAUAGAAAAGGAGGAAUGCACUGAGCACGCAUUCUUAGGUUAAGCCAGAGGAUGUUGAAUUAUCUUAUUAACAUCUUAUAUCAUGUCUCCGGUUUUCCUAAUCGCUAAAUACCUCCUUUUUAGCAUCUGAUCUUUAUCUGAUAAAACCUGUUUGGGAAAAGUCUAGCAGUGUUGCCUGUAUUUGAUCCAUGUUUUGCUGU